rnacentral:lncRNA from 1 species
GAGUUUGGCCGUACUCAAGAUGCAUAAUAAAAUGUGUUAUCCACCCAAAUGUACAUUUCCACGUGGCUAAUGAGGUAACUUUCAUGUAGUUAUUUACUAUAAUUUUUAAAUGCCAAUUUCUGUUUUUCAGCGGCCCUUGUGUGGUGCCCACAGUCCUAAGUGAAUAUGGGGAUCCUGAAGGCACUGAGAUCCUUACUGAACCCUAGGAGGAACUGCUGUGGAAGACCCCUGAGAGACUUACCUGUGGAUGCUGGAAGGAGGGAGAGAGCAAGGGAGCCAGAAAACAGAGUACAUGUGGCUCCCCAAGAGCCAAGAGCAGGAGUUAAAGGCACAGAACUAAACCUAUGAAAAUAACUGACAGAAAAGAAUGGAUGGGGGCACCCAGGAGGCAGUGACGAGACAGUGGGGAGAGAGCCUCUGAACACCACUGGAUUCUGCAGGUUUGACUAUUCAGCUAGAGAACAUAUGUACUAAGGAACCACUUAGAAUGUGACAAUUUGCUCAGAGGGUGACCAGCUGCAAGUAGCUGAGAAUCAUUAAGUGGCAGGAGGCACAGAGGAGAGCUGCUGUGACACCUGGUGAGAGACUGGCUUCACACUCCCAGCACUUCCCUCUUCUCAUUUCCUGUUCUGGGUGCCCUUCCCAACUUCUGGGCCCUCAGUUUGUUCCUGAAAUUUAAACAAACUUCCCUUGUUUAACACUUCUAUGCACAUCCCCUUGAAAGGUGAACAGAAUUUUUUUUUCUUUUUAUAAUGGCAAUAAAUAAAUAAAUAGGAAUUAGGACUUACAGAUUAGAGGACAGGAGCUUCUAGUCUGGCGCUCCAGUUGGGUACUAUCCUAA